rnacentral:rRNA from 1 species
UACGUAGGGUGCAAGCGUUGAUCGGAAUUACUGGGCGUAAAGCGUGCGCAGGCGGUUUUGUAAGUCUGUCGUGAAAUCCCCGGGCUCAACCUGGGAAUUGCGAUGGAGACUGCAAGGCUAGAAUCUGGCAGAGGGGGGUAGAAUUCCACGUGUAGCAGUGAAAUGCGUAGAGAUGUGGAGGAACACCGAUGGCGAAGGCAGCCCCCUGGGUCAAGAUUGACGCUCAUGCACGAAAGCGUGGGGAGCA